rnacentral:sRNA from 1 species
AUGACAAACUGUAGACUGAAGUCCUCAAUUUAUCCAUACAGCAGGUACAGUAUGGGCAAUAGUAGUGUAAACUUCCCCACACCAAUUCACCUUUAGGUUACCAACAAUCUGGUCUGAACUGAAACCAGUGACUUGGGCUGUAUCCCAUUCCCAAUCCUCCCAGCCUUCCUGAC